GGUUAAGCGACUAAGCGUACACGGUGGAUGCCCUGGCAGUCAGAGGCGAUGAAGGACGUGCUAAUCUGCGAAAAGCGUCGGUAAGGUGAUAUGAACCGUUAUAGCCGGCGAUGUCCGAAUGGGGAAACCCAGUGUGAUUCGUCACACUAUCGUUAACUGAAUACAUAGGUUAACGAGGCGAACCGGGGGAACUGAAACAUCUAAGUACCCCGAGGAAAAGAAAUCAACCGAGAUUCCCCCAGUAGCGGCGAGCGAACGGGGAGCAGCCCAGAGUCUGAAUCAGCUUGUGUGUUAGUGGAACGGUCUGGAAAGUCCGACGGUACAGGGUGAUAGUCCCGUACACCAAAAUGCACAGGCUGUGAACUCGAAGAGUAGGGCGGGACACGUGGUAUCCUGUCUGAAUAUGGGGGGACCAUCCUCCAAGGCUAAAUACUCCUGACUGACCGAUAGUGAACCAGUACCGUGAGGGAAAGGCGAAAAGAACCCCGGCGAGGGGAGUGAAAAAGAACCUGAAACCGUGUACGUACAAGCAGUGGGAGCACCUUCGGGUGUGACUGCGUACCUUUUGUAUAAUGGGUCAGCGACUUAUAUUCUGUAGCAAGGUUAACCGUAUAGGGGAGCCGCAGGGAAACCGAGUCUUAACUGGGCGUUAAGUUGCAGGGUAUAGACCCGAAACCCGGUGAUCUAGCCAUGGGCAGGUUGAAGGUUGGGUAACACUAACUGGAGGACCGAACCGACUAAUGUUGAAAAAUUAGCGGAUGACUUGUGGCUGGGGGUGAAAGGCCAAUCAAACCGGGAGAUAGCUGGUUCUCCCCGAAAGCUAUUUAGGUAGCGCCUCGUGAACUCAUCUUCGGGGGUAGAGCACUGUUUCGGCUAGGGGGUCAUCCCGACUUACCAACCCGAUGCAAACUACGAAUACCGAAGAAUGUUAUCACGGGAGACACACGGCGGGUGCUAACGUCCGUCGUGAAGAGGGAAACAACCCAGACCGCCAGCUAAGGUCCCAAAGUCAUGGUUAAGUGGGAAACGAUGUGGGAAGGCACAGACAGCCAGGAUGUUGGCUUAGAAGCAGCCAUCAUUUAAAGAAAGCGUAAUAGCUCACUGGUCGAGUCGGCCUGCGCGGAAGAUGUAACGGGGCUAAACCAUGCACCGAAGCUGCGGCAGCGACACGAUGUGUUGUUGGGUAGGGGAGCGUUCUGUAAGCCUGCGAAGGUGACCUGUGAGGGUUGCUGGAGGUAUCAGAAGUGCGAAUGCUGACAUAAGUAACGAUAAAGCGGGUGAAAAGCCCGCUCGCCGGAAGACCAAGGGUUCCUGUCCAACGUUAAUCGGGGCAGGGUGAGUCGACCCCUAAGGCGAGGCCGAAAGGCGUAGUCGAUGGGAAACAGGUUAAUAUUCCUGUACUUGGUGUUACUGCGAAGGGGGGACGGAGAAGGCUAUGUUAGCCGGGCGACGGUUGUCCCGGUUUAAGCAUGUAGGCUGGUUAUCCAGGCAAAUCCGGAUAAUCAAGGCUGAGGUGUGAUGACGAGGCACUACGGUGCUGAAGUAACAAAUGCCCUGCUUCCAGGAAAAGCCUCUAAGCAUCAGGUAACACGAAAUCGUACCCCAAACCGACACAGGUGGUCAGGUAGAGAAUACCAAGGCGCUUGAGAGAACUCGGGUGAAGGAACUAGGCAAAAUGGUGCCGUAACUUCGGGAGAAGGCACGCUGGUGUGUAGGUGAAGUCCCUGCGGAUGGAGCUGAGACCAGUCGAAGAUACCAGCUGGCUGCAACUGUUUAUUAAAAACACAGCACUGUGCAAACACGAAAGUGGACGUAUACGGUGUGACGCCUGCCCGGUGCCGGAAGGUUAAUUGAUGGGGUUAUCCGUAAGGAGAAGCUCUUGAUCGAAGCCCCGGUAAACGGCGGCCGUAACUAUAACGGUCCUAAGGUAGCGAAAUUCCUUGUCGGGUAAGUUCCGACCUGCACGAAUGGCGUAAUGAUGGCCAGGCUGUCUCCACCCGAGACUCAGUGAAAUUGAACUCGCUGUGAAGAUGCAGUGUACCCGCGGCAAGACGGAAAGACCCCGUGAACCUUUACUAUAGCUUGACACUGAACAUUGAGCCUUGAUGUGUAGGAUAGGUGGGAGGCUUUGAAGCGUGGACGCCAGUCUGCGUGGAGCCAACCUUGAAAUACCACCCUUUAAUGUUUGAUGUUCUAACGUUGGCCCCUUAUCGGGGUUGCGGACAGUGUCUGGUGGGUAGUUUGACUGGGGCGGUCUCCUCCCAAAGCGUAACGGAGGAGCACGAAGGUUAGCUAAUCCUGGUCGGACAUCAGGAGGUUAGUGCAAUGGCAUAAGCUAGCUUGACUGCGAGCGUGACGGCGCGAGCAGGUGCGAAAGCAGGUCAUAGUGAUCCGGUGGUUCUGAAUGGAAGGGCCAUCGCUCAACGGAUAAAAGGUACUCCGGGGAUAACAGGCUGAUACCGCCCAAGAGUUCAUAUCGACGGCGGUGUUUGGCACCUCGAUGUCGGCUCAUCACAUCCUGGGGCUGAAGUAGGUCCCAAGGGUAUGGCUGUUCGCCAUUUAAAGUGGUACGCGAGCUGGGUUUAGAACGUCGUGAGACAGUUCGGUCCCUAUCUGCCGUGGGCGCUGGAGAAUUGAGGGGGGCUGCUCCUAGUACGAGAGGACCGGAGUGGACGCAUCACUGGUGUUCGGGUUGUCAUGCCAAUGGCACUGCCCGGUAGCUAAAUGCGGAAGAGAUAAGUGCUGAAAGCAUCUAAGCACGAAACUUGCCCCGAGAUGAGUUCUCCCUGAGACUUUAAGUCUCCUGAAGGAACGUUGAAGACGACGACGUUGAUAGGCCGGGUGUGUAAGCGCAGCGAUGCGUUGAGCUAACCGGUACUAAUGAACCGUGAGGCUUAACCUU
rnacentral:rRNA from 1 species